GUACUUGCUUCAAUUGCACGUAUUUUAAAAUUGAAACGAUACAGAGAAGAUUUAUCAUGGUCUUGUGCACGGAUAACAUGCAAAUUCAUGAAGUGUUUCCUAUUUUA